rnacentral:tRNA from 1 species
GCUCAGUCGGUUAAGCCUCCGACUCUUGACUUCGAAUCAGGUCAAGUUCUCACGGUUCGCGGGUUCGAGCCCCGCACUGGGCU